AAAAUGAUUCAAUGGAUUUAAAAAUGGUUGGCGAUUAAUGCAUUGCAGGGAGGAGAGUAGAGGAGGAAUGACAGAGGUUUAGGUGGAAAAAAACACUCAAUGUAUUUGGAGUUUGAUCUUCCCAAGUGUCCUGACCUAAAUAGCAAAAUUCUUCCCAAAUGUGAAUACCAAAAUUGGGUCACAUAUUCUACAGAAUACCAUCUUUGAUACU